rnacentral:rRNA from 1 species
CCAAUAGCGUAUAUUAAAGUUGUUGCAGUUAAAAAGCUCGUAGUUGAAUUUCGGGAUCAGUACGCUGGUCAUGCCUUUGGUAUGCACUGGUGUCACUGGUUUCUCCCUUCUGAAGAUCCGUGAUGUCAUUAAUUUGGUGUCGCGGGGAAUCAGGACUGUUACUUUGAAAAAAUUAGAGUGUUUAAAGCAGGCUCACGCUUGAAUACAUUAGCAUGGAAUAAUGAAAUAGGACGUUUGACCCUAUUUUGUUGGUUUCUAGGAUCGACGUAAUGAUUAAUAGGGAUAGUUGGGGGCAUUAGUAUUCAAUUGUCAGAGGUGAAAUUCUUGGAUUUAUUGAAGACUAACUACUGCGAAAGCAUUUGCCAAGGAUGUUUUCAUUAAUCAAGAACGAAAGUUAGGGGAUCGAAGACGAUCAGAUACCGUCGUAGUCUUAACCAUAAACUAUGCCGACUAGGGAUCGGAUGAUGUUAAUUUUAUAAUGACUCAUUCGGCGCCUUAC